CUUCUUUCAUCUAAACUCUAAACUCUAGAUAUUCAUCUCACUCUUCAUCUUCUUCAUUAUGCAUCUACUAAAACAUUUUUCAGAUUAGAACCCCCAAAAACCCAGACCACACCACCACCGCUGAACCAACACCGCGCCACCACCGCACCACCACCACCAAGUUUAUGUAUUUUUCUUUGGAUCUGGCCCUUGUUCAACAUUGAAGCUCAAAGAUGAGAAAAAAAUGUGAAAGCUUCAAGCUUUUCACCCAGAUCGGAAAAGAAAGCUUCAGAUCUGGCCUCAACAUCUGAGUCUGUGGCACGCUAUCAUUCCUCCUUGCUCAAGCCCAGCCGCAGCUCCUGGUCCUCUUCCAUGGCAGAAUCGGUUUGCACCGCCAAAAUGAACUUGGGUGAUGAGGUGGACCUGGAGGAUUAUGUUUCUCGACCUGUCAAAAUUAGUGCUGCGGUGAUAUCUGCCAUUUGUCAAGAAGCAGGAAUGUCAAAGUCCAUUGUUAGAGCGAGAGGAAGAGACGAGGGUUGAGGCAAGAAACGCAGAUCUCAGAAGAAAAACCCAGCUUACACUCAACAAGUUUCCACCUUGCUUAUUCGACUUCUGAAAGAGUUUUUCAUUUGUGCUAGUUUCUUUUAGUUGCAGAACUCAUGUAGUUAAAGGGUACAUUUCAAGAGUAGUGUCUAGGUUGUGUAAUAUUCACGAGAAAUUAUACUAUAUGUUUUGUUCUUAAUUUCUCUUCUUUUCUGGAUUUUAUUGUUAGAGGAUGUAGGUGAUAAUAAUAAAGAUUAGAGAUUAAGGACGAUGUGAUUAUAUUUUUACAAUAAUUAAUUUCAUUUUAAAAAAAAUGAUUUAACUUGUUGUAA